rnacentral:snRNA from 1 species
UUGCUUAGACAGCACAUACACUGAAAUUGGAGCGAUUCAGAGCAGAUUGGUAUGGCCCCGGCAGAAGGAGGACUAGCAAAUUUGCUACAUAGUCCAUACUUUU